rnacentral:rRNA from 1 species
AAUCCAUAGGUUAAUGAGGCGAACCGGGGGAACUGAAACAUCUAAGUACCCCGAGGAAAAGAAAUCAACCGAGAUUCCCCCAGUAGCGGCGAGCGAACGGGGAGGAGCCCAGAGCCUGAAUCAGCAUGUGUGUUAGUGGAAGCGUCUGGAAAGGCGCGCGAUACAGGGUGACAGCCCCGUACACAAAAGCGCAUGUGCUGUGAGCUCGAUGAGUAGGGCGGGACACGUGGUAUCCUGUCUGAAUAUGGGGGGACCAUCCUCCAAGGCUAAAUACUCCUGACUGACCGAUAGUGAACCAGUACCGUGAGGGAAAGGCGAAAAGAACCCCGGCGAGGGGAGUGAAAAAGAACCUGAAACCGUGUACGUACAAGCAGUGGGAGCACCCUUUGGGGUGUGACUGCGUACCUUUUGUAUAAUGGGUCAGCGACUUAUAUUCUGUAGCAAGGUUAACCGAAUAGGGGAGCCGGAGGGAAACCGAGUCUUAAUUGGGCGUUAAGUUGCAGGGUAUAGACCCGAAACCCGGUGAUCUAGCCAUGGGCAGGUUGAAGGUUGGGUAACACUAACUGGAGGACCGAACCGACUAAUGUUGAAAAAUUAGCGGAUGACCUGUGGCUGGGGGUGAAAGGCCAAUCAAACCGGGAGAUAGCUGGUUCUCCCCGAAAGCUAUUUAGGUAGCGCCUCGUGAAUUCAUCUCCGGGGGUAGAGCACUGUUUCGGCUAGGGGGCCAUCCCGGCUUACCAACCCGAUGCAAACUGCGAAUACCGGAGAAUGUUAUCACGGGAGACACACGGCGGGUGCUAACGUCCGUCGUGAAGAGGGAAACAACCCAGACCGCCAGCUAAGGUCCCAAAGUCAUGGUUAAGUGGGAAACGAUGUGGGAAGGCCCAGACAGCCAGGAUGUUGGCUUAGAAGCAGCCAUCAUUUAAAGAAAGCGUAAUAGCUCACUGGUCGAGUCGGCCUGCGCGGAAGAUGUAACGGGGCUAAACCAUGCACCGAAGCUGCGGCAGCGAACGUAUCACCCAAGACAACUUUGCGGAGUUGACGAUUGACGGAGCGAAGCGACGUCAAAGCGUUCAUUAAAGUCGAGUUGGCUUAGGGAUACGUUCGUUGGGUAGGGGAGCGUUCUGUAAGCCUGCGAAGGUGGCCUGUGAGGGUUGCUGGAGGUAUCAGAAGUGCGAAUGCUGACAUAAGUAACGAUAAAGCGGGUGAAAAGCCCGCUCGCCGGAAGACCAAGGGUUCCUGUCCAACGUUAAUCGGGGCAGGGUGAGUCGACCCCUAAGGCGAGGCCGAAAGGCGUAGUCGAUGGGAAACGGGUUAAUAUUCCCGUACUUGGUGUUACUGCGAAGGGGGGACGGAGAAGGCUAUGUUGGCCGGGCGACGGUUGUCCCGGUUUAAGCGUGUAGGUGUGUGUUCCAGGUAAAUCCGGUU